UGGGGGAUCGUCUAACGGCAGGACGCCAGAUUCUGGAUCUGGCUAUCUAGGUUCGAAUCCUAGUCCCCCAGCCA
rnacentral:tRNA from 1 species